AACACGUGGGUAACCUGCCCAAGAGAUCGGGAUAACACCUGGAAACAGAUGCUAAUACCGGAUAACAACAGAUGAUGCCUAUCAACUGUUUAAAAGAUGGUUCUGCUAUCACUCUUGGAUGGACCUGCGGUGCAUUAGCUAGUUGGUAGGGUAACGGCCUACCAAGGCGAUGAUGCAUAGCCGAGUUGAGAGACUGAUCGGCCACAUUGGGACUGAGACACGGCCCAAACUCCUACGGGAGGCAGCAGUAGGGAAUCUUCCACAAUGGACGCAAGUCUGAUGGAGCAACGCCGCGUGAGUGAAGAAGGGUUUCGGCUCGUAAAGCUCUGUUGUUGGUGAAGAA
rnacentral:rRNA from 1 species